GGACGGGUGAGUAACACGUGGGUAACCUGCCUGUAAGACUGGGAUAACUCCGGGAAACCGGGGCUAAUACCGGAUGCUUGUUUGAACCGCAUGGUUCAAACAUAAAAGGUGGCUUCGGCUACCACUUACAGAUGGACCCGCGGCGCAUUAGCUAGUUGGUGAGGUAAUGGCUCACCAAGGCAACGAUGCGUAGCCGACCUGAGAGGGUGAUCGGCCACACUGGGACUGAGACACGGCCCAGACUCCUACGGGAGGCAGCAGUAGGGAAUCUUCCGCAAUGGACGAAAGUCUGACGGAGCAACGCCGCGUGAGUGAUGAAGGUUUUCGGAUCGUAAAGCUCUGUUGUUAGGGAAGAACAAGUGCCGUUCAAAUAGGGCGGCACCUUGACGGUACCUAACCAGAAAGCCACGGCUAACUACGUGCCAGCAGCCGCGGUAAUACGUAGGUGGCAAGCGUUGUCCGGAAUUAUUGGGCGUAAAGGGCUCGCAGGCGGUUUCUUAAGUCUGAUGUGAAAGCCCCCGGCUCAACCGGGGAGGGUCAUUGGAAACUGGGGAACUUGAGUGCAGAAGAGGAGAGUGGAAUUCCACGUGUAGCGGUGAAAUGCGUAGAGAUGUGGAGGAACACCAGUGGCGAAGGCGACUCUCUGGUCUGUAACUGACGCUGAGGAGCGAAAGCGUGGGGAGCGAACAGGAUUAGAUACCCUGGUAGUCCACGCCGUAAACGAUGAGUGCUAAGUGUUAGGGGGUUUCCGCCCCUUAGUGCUGCAGCUAACGCAUUA
rnacentral:rRNA from 2 species